UACAGAGGUGUCAAACGUUGUCCGGAAUUACUGGGCGUAAAGGGCGCGUAGGCGGCCUUAUAAGUCAGAUGUGAAAGCUCUGGGCUCAACCCAGGAAUUGCAUCUGAUACUGUAGGGCUUGAGUUCGGUAGAGGAGGGCGGAAUUCCAGGUGUAGCGGUGAAAUGCGUAGAUAUCUGGAGGAACACCCGUGGCGAAGGCGGCUCUCUGGUCCGAAACUGACGCUGAGGUGCGAAAGCUAGGGUAGCAAACAGG
rnacentral:rRNA from 1 species